CCACCUAUGUUAUAAAUGUAUGGUGCGCAUGAACUUAUUUGGCAGUCUAGGUCAUUUAAGUCCAUCGUUAACAUGAAUAGGUGGUCGGGGAAAGUCGCUGUAGUUACUGGUGCCAGUGCAGGAAUUGGGGCAAGUGUGGCUGAAAAAUUGGUACAGGAAGGAUUGAAUGUUGUUGGUAUAGCUAGGAGAAAAGACCGCAUCUUAGAAUUAGCCAAAAAAUGUGGGGAGCAGAAUGGAAAAUUGUAUGCAGUCCAGGCAGAUUUGACAAAACAAGAAGAAAUCAUACAAGCAUUUGAUUGGAUUAAUAAGAAUGUGGGUCCCGUUAGUAUCUUAGUAAACAAUGCUGGUCUAGGAAGAAAGACUAACCUCAUUAAUGGUGACAUUGAAGAGUGGAAAAAAGUACUGGACACAAAUGUUCUAGCCGUAGCGAUUGCCUCAAGAGAAGCUAUCAAAUCCAUGCAAGAAAACAAGAUCGAUGGUCAUAUCGUUAAUAUCAAUAGUACAGCUGGUCAUCAAGUUCCAAAAAUUCCAUAUAAUAACGUUUAUCCAGCUUCAAAGUUCGCUGUAACUGCAUUAUCGGAAACAUUGAGAAAUGAGCUUAUCACUAUUGACAGCAAGAUAAAAGUAUCGAGCGUUAGUCCAGGAUGUACUAUGACAGAAAUAUUUGAAGUGAACGGAUUUACUGAAGAUGAACAAGUGCAACAAUUAUUAAAAGUUGUUCCGUCAUUGAAGGCAGAGGAUAUCGCCAAUGCUGUACUAUAUGUUUUGGGAACUCCUCCAAUGGUUCAGGUACAGUAGUUUCAAAUAUCAGUAUAACAUAAAAUUUUAUAUUGUUCAUUUAACGGUAUUCUAAUCUGCUUCAAAUGGUCAAUCAAACAUUCGCGUACCAAUCUUUUGAUAAAAUGAUCGAUAAAUAUUUAUCAGAAAAUAAUUCAUAUUAGGACAUCACGAAAACUAUUAUUGGGUUAAACCGAUCAUGAUCUGACUCUUCGGACACUAACCCGGAUCACGUUCAUUGUUGUUCGGAAACUCAUAUAAUAGAGUUAAUCGGGUCGGAGUCAUAUGAUAGGAUCUUCUCUAUCCUGGUAAAACCGGAAAGACCCUGGCAUAAUAAUGAUUCAUUUUAUAGAAACAUCGCACACGGUUAGAUUGGUUUUUAUUAUAUUAUUAAAUAAUUUUCAGCCCCAAAAAGUGAAGAAAAGAAGCGAAAACCAUGCUUUUGAUUAAAUUAAGAAGUAUGUCAAAUAUUCUUGUUAAACCACUGUAAAAACCGAGAAACGAAUGGUUUCUCAAGGGCGGAGCAGUUGCUCCAAUGGUCGUUCCUUCUACGCAUAUAUGAUGAAAAUUCGAAAUCCUGAUCUAAUUCAAUCUAAAAAAAUCACACAUGAUUCGCUUUGAUUUAAUUUGUACUAUCUAAAAACUAUCAUUAACUAAUAUGUACCCUUAGGUAAAAUGUAUGAAACAUAUAAGUAAAGUGCCUUCUGAAAAAUUAUAAUAAGGUAAUGUGACAAUGGUAGGUCAUUGGAAGAGUGGGCCACCCCGUAGUAAAAUUAUUGGUAUGGUCGUUUUUAUAUGAAUUACCAUUAAAAAGGGUUACUGGGAGUGCCAUCUAUUUGCCGUAAGAUUAACUAUGUCCAAAUCUCAGCCUACUCGAAAUUAAUCAGUAUCCGACUGCAGACCGUGUUUUUUUGUCGUUAAGGCCGCUUGACAUGUCGCAAGACAACGUGCAAUGCAAUGCAAGACGCAAUAUUUCUCGAUGAAAAGUAUACAUAGAUGAAGUUCAGCUGAUUGUUUCUCGCAUUUGCAUCAUUAUCUGAUUGGUAUCAUUUUCAUUGUGUACAAGUUGCAAUUUUAGGAAGAAAUGAGUUUCUGAUCUGCUGUUAUUACAAGGAUUUCUUAGUUAUCUCAUGUUUUAUUUUUCUUGGGAGUUUGUCAAAUGUUUCUUUAUCCAUUCCCAAAUGUAUGUAUUUUGUAUGUUUCUCGACUAAUUCUAUAGCUGAAUUUAUGUUUUCUCUUAUUUUAUGUGGCCAUGGCUUGGACCACCAUAGCCUAGAUGCUCUUUUCUGCCCAAUAGACUCAAAAAGCAAGGCAUCAGCCUAUAAACUGACCACAAAAUAAGAAAAUACAAUUUGGAGUUAGGAAAUUGUUUACUUUUUCUUAUGGAAUUUUGAUAAGUGGCAACCAUGAUGUAAUGGGAAGAGACUUGCGUAAUGUUAAGCAGCGUGCAAUAUUCGUCUUUGCAGUAUUUUGAUCUUCCAUAUUACAUUUUAUACAAUUUCUUGCACAUUAUCUUGUCCCAUGUCAAGCGGCCUUUACAAUUUUUAACACGUGCAGUUUUUUCGAGAUUCUAGUUACAAUUUCGGAGGAGAAACAUAACUUAUGUGUACUUAGGUUAUAAUGAUGGUAGCCCAUUUAACCCGAACAUUUUUCGAUUUGGGGUAAGUGGGUAGCAACGUUGCAGGUAAAUGGUUCCUUAUGGGUCUAUUCACCUCAGCCAAAGGUGAAUUUACAAAAAAUAUCAAAUAUAUAUUUUUUAAUUUAGUAGUAGUAGUAGUAGGUACAACAAAGAAGAGCUGAAAGCUGCAGUUUUGGUUAUACAGCAAGGUCAAAACACGAUAAAGGAAGCGGCUGUACAAUACAACAUCCCAAGAACAACCCUUAAACAUCAUGUUAGAUGUACAAGGGGGAAAAUAGACCUUAUGGCAGAAAGUGGCAAGGGAGGAGGAGUAGCGACGAUUUUAGAUGAGGAUGAAAAAAUGUUAGUAGAAGGACUUUUGACAAUGGAAAAGUGGGGGUUUGGUUUGAAAGGAUGUUGCAAUCUUUUGUUAAGGUCAAUGAUGUUACAAACAGGUUUAAAGAUGGACGUCCUGGAGAGGACUGGUUUUUGGGAUUUGAUUAGAAACAUAAAAAAGAAUAUGGCUUAUGCAGCAAAACACAACUCAUAUCAGCCUAGAAGUUUGUAGACUUGUGUACGAACAUAAUGUUACUAUAUUGAAGCUUCCUCCCACACAACCGUACUCCAGCCGUAGCUUAGACGUAGCCAUAUUUGGACCUUUCAAAACUACAUAAGAUAAACGGUGAAAUGGUAGGGACAUAAUCUCUCUCAACAAGAAAAACAGAGAGUUUAAGAACAGAGCUACCUUAAAUCGAAGAACGCUUAGAAUCAGGUUCAGGAAGGAAUCGAAAAUCAGUUGAAGAUAUAUUGCUGGGUGCAGUGAGAACUACAAAAACGAUACUCAUUCGCCAAAAAGGAAAAGAAUCACAUAUUACGAACGCUGAAAUAAUUAUGACAAAAGAAUAUAUUGAAUGACGCGAGCAUGAGAAAAAACAAAGAAAAGAUACCGAAAACAGAAAAAAAUAAAGAAACGAGCUAAGGUGUCGCGCGAGUUACAGAACAAAAAAGAACGAACUGAUAGUAUCACCAAGACUUGUAUUGAUAAAAGCUUAAGCAAAGAUGAAAGAAACCAACGAACACCAAAAAAACGCUGAAAAAUCCGUCCCUACAAUGAAAAAGAAAGCAAAAAACCUUUACUCGCCAGGCGAUUAUACAAUUAUCAUUUAUAAUAGAAUAAGACAAUGUGACAGUAAAACAUAUGGAGCAAUGUAGGAAAAUAAACGUUUGGCGUUGACCUCAACGAGAAGAUAUAAUAGAAUACGACCAUAAUGAAAUAAAAAUUAUUAAAAAGCCUGUUUUAAAAAAUAAGAGAAACAGGUUUAGUGUGCCAAAAAUAGACGAUUUUGUGGAAUAUUUAUAAUUAAAUAUAUUUUGUUCUAAACUGCAAUUUCUGAAAACUGAAAAUUUCGAAGAAGGACCCAGUUUCAUCAUGUUGUUUUUAGUACUUCUUAAUAAUAAAAUAGACGAGUGUGGUCCAGUUGCACCAAAGUCCCAGAUCAAAAAACAAAAAAAAUAAAACAAGAAUUGAGUUUUUUAAGAUGAGAUUUGGUUUAUUCCAUUACAUAUACUUGAUACUUGUGAACUCCAAAAUCUCGCAGAAUCCUGAAUAAAUUUAACUGUGUACUAAGGUUCACAAAAAUAAAGCUGUAUAUUGGAGACCCACCCACCUCACACUACCUUUGGUACUUAUAGAAUAAACUAUAUUCUCAGGAAAAAAAUGUCUUUAUUUUCCUUUGUACUACCUUAGUUUUUUUACAUACAUCUCUAGGAAUACAUAGGGAAAUAUGAUUUUCUCAGGACAGAAAAAUACAAUUUUGUUUGAUCCACCAUAGGCGUAGAUACCUCAUUUUAUAAAUUUAUUAAUUUUAUGAAUACUUUUAAAAAUAUGUAUAUCUUUUGCGAGAAAGUAAUCGUUAAAAGGCAAUCGAAUAAUCAUAAAUUGGACGGCAUUAUACGUAGUUAUUUAGACAGAUGUACUUAAUUGUAGUCCUACUUGUAGUUUAAACCGGGUACCAGACAUAAACAGAGUCCUUUUUAUACCCCAUUCGUUUUUUCUUUUGGAAAACGAAAUUUCAAAGCAAAAACCGUAAAGAAAAAUAAAUUCUUACUUCUCUGGUUCUUUGAUAACAUGUUCAACACAGUUUUGCCAAAGCUCUUGGUGGUCUGCUGCUAAAACUUUCUUUACGAGUUCUACAACCUCUUCACUCAGUUCUGGAGACUGAUUAAAUUUUCGUAAUUCUGAUUUUACGUUUGCCCAUAUUUAUUCUAUAGGGUUAAAUAUGCGAUCUGCACUUUAGAUCUAUAAUAACAGUAAGAAAUUUUUGUUUGUUGGGCCUUUUUUACAUCGCUGACAGGAAUAAGAAUUUUUUUUCAGACACAAAUGCUAAAAUUUGAGCUUUGUUACUACUACUAUUUGGUGUCUUAAGGUAUUGCUUCGAGUGGUAGGAACGAUUACUGAUUGUGAUGGAAUGUUAGGUAAAAGCUGUUCAUUAAAUCACUUUUCAAAUAAUUCUGCUGUCAUAUCUUCAUGAUAAUCAGCUGCACAGUUUCUAAUUUUUUUAGCAAAUAUUAAUAAAGCAUUAGGCACGAAACCGUCUUUGCUUCCAGCGCGUACUAUUAUAAUACGUUUCCCUUCAGAGCAUAGCUCAUUCUUACAGCAAUUUUUACUAUUGUCAACCCAACCGAAAUUUACUUCAUCGUGACUAUCAAACAAUGUUUCAUCUAGAUAAAUUAUGUGUCUAUUAGAACUUCGGUAGUCUUUUAGCUGACGCCAAUAAUUUUGUCGCCAUCGAAUGAUCCUUUACGAUUCGGUUAUUGCUGUCCGGUUUAUUAGUUUUUUGUAUUUAAAACCACAUGCUGACAAAACUUGACCCAAUGUUUCUAAACCUCAUUCCCCCAUGGUCUAAAAAACCCCAUAUUUCUAUUUAUUUAAAGAAAUUUAUAAAUUAAAUUAAAAUCACCAAGCCACGCCAAUGCUUAUCGCAGAGUUUCUAGCAGGAAUAUUUCCAAGAAAUUGUGUAUAUACGGUCUCGGCCAAUAGAAAUGUUUAGGAGAGAACAGUGGAGAUGUCCACGUGGAUUGACUGUUUGUUAGAUGUAUACCAAAUUUUAUAUGAGGAGUAAACAUUAUUUUUCAUUUCUGAAUUUGGUAUCAGUGCCGUGCGUAUUUAUGAAAUAUCGAUUGAUCCUCCACAUAACUGUCUUCUGCAAUUGAUAUUGGAAAAACUAUACAUUCUUGGCGUCGGCUAAAUCAAAAUAUAAAUAUAACCUAGCAUGUUUUAUUCAAUCAGCUUAACUGUAAUAACAGUUAAAAAAUAUUAAGUAGUUGGCUUACGUGCGAGUCUAUAUAUUGAGAGAUGAAUAAGAAAAUGGAUGGAUUCUGAUCUGAUAGUAAAAAAUAGAACAAAGCUAUUAAGUUAUACUGUGCAAUUCAUAUAUUAUUUUCUGAUCAUCUAAUCAUAAUUUUUUUUUCAUACCAGAAUGUACCGGUGCUUGCUAUUGAUGAAGUACGAGUGAUGAUAAAAGUCAUGGCGAAACUGGUGUCUGUAUAAUAAUUUAAUAAUAUAGAUUGUUUGUUAAAAAAUAAAAAUAAGUACAAAGAAAUAUCAGAAACUAACAAUACUGGACCACAUAUGAUCACGGUUUUAUAUACCUGAUAUGACUACGACUCGACUAACUCGGAUCAGUUUCCGAACAACAAUAACCAUGAUCCAUGUUUCUGAACAUUCAGAUCAUGAUCAGGUUAACCCGAUAAUAAUUUCCGAAAAGUCUAUAGGUACAUUUCUAGUCGUGAGCGAGCGAAGUGCAAAAUGUCUUUUAAAUGGAUGCAAAAAUAAACGAUGAAUUUCUUCUUCAGUGUGUAUCCAAUUACAAACCAUUCAACAUUCAACGAUUGUUAAGAUACGUGGUCGAUCAAACAAAUUACUCACUAAUAAUAAAAAAGGCUUUAUUGCCUGUUAAUGAGAACAAUGAAUGAAACAUCUAUACAAUACAUAGAACAAGUUGUGCGCAUGAACAUACAAGAGAUCAUGCGUCUUCCGCACAACGAUACACAUACGCAAAAAUAUAAAUGUUAUACUGUCAACAAAGAUAAAGAUAAAGGGUAUAAAAUGCGAAAUAUAGCCAUUCGAUCUAGUGCGCAUGUGUCAUGUACGGCACGAAAUUCACAAUCUUGUAACUUGAAACCUCUGUGGACCGUGUCGGCACGACUUUUAGCUUUUAAUUGCAUUAGAAAUGCUAACAUUGUUUCUCGUGUGCCGAGCAUGUGUUCCACUUAGCCCAAAUGGCAUUAGAAAUCUACUCUAAUGUAUUAUUUUUUCACCGCAAGCUCGUUGAAGAAUGUUUAUUCCCUUAUUGCAAUAUGAUUUUUAUAAAAA